CAAGAGAUGCAUUGGAGUUCUGAGGUGCAGCUUGAGCUUGGUUUCUUUGCUGGUAGCUUGGAUAUUGAUUUCCCCUUGCAUAACUGAAAUUUGGAUGGUCCCUCCAACCUGGAUUAUAAGUAUUUGCAUAAGGAUCAUACCUUCUUUGCCCAUUGAAGCCUCCAACCGCAUUGACUUGCUGGUCCUCCUCUUGAAGGGAAGGACAUAGAUCAGUUGGGUG
rnacentral:lncRNA from 1 species